rnacentral:rRNA from 1 species
GAUGAACGCUGGCGGCGUGCCUAAUACAUGCAAGUCGAGCGAACAGACGAGGAGCUUGCUCCUCUGACGUUAGCGGCGGACGGGUGAGUAACACGUGGAUAACCUACCUAUAAGACUGGGAUAACUUCGGGAAACCGGAGCUAAUACCGGAUAAUAUAUUGAACCGCAUGGUUCAAUAGUGAAAGACGGUUUUGCUGUCACUUAUAGAUGGAUCCGCGCCGCAUUAGCUAGUUGGUAAGGUAACGGCUUACCAAGGCGACGAUGCGUAGCCGACCUGAGAGGGUGAUCGGCCACACUGGAACUGAGACGCGGUCCAGACUCCUACGGGAGGCAGCAGUAGGGAUUCUUCCGCAAUGGGCGAAAGCCUGACGGAGCAACGCCGCGUGAGUGAUGAAGGUCUUCGGAUCGUAAAACUCUGUUAUUAGGGAAGAACAAAUGUGUAAGUAACUAUGCACGUCUUGACGGUACCUAAUCAGAAAGCCACGGCUAACUACGUG